CUCAUAUAAAAACGAAGGGAAGCAUUCGGCUGGUUCUCUUUGGCGGCGGCGAGGCAGCGGGACAUUUAGGAGUGGUGCUGAAUUUUGUUUGCGUGCGGAGGUCUUCGCAGCACGGAUGCAGAAAACGGUACGCUUCAGCUUGAUGGGUAUGCAGAACAUGGGUUCCUCUCAUCUUCCCUGUGGAUUGUAAGAGUAGUGUGGAACUAGAGCAGUGGAUCACAAUCCUGCUCAGUUAAAGGGAAAUUCCACUUUUUGUGUUAGAUGUCAAGUUGUUCAGAGUGGCUCAUUGCACAUGUAGUAAAAUCUUUCUAGAAGAGGUGAGUGACAUUCAUUCAAGUUAACACUUAGUUAUACAUGGUAGUCAGAACAAAUUUGAGUAUGAAGAUACCAGCUGUUUAUGCUGCCAAAUAGUUCCUGCUUAAAAUACAGGUCACUUUGGUUACUCUCCCUCUAUUCAAGUGAAUAAAUUGUGGUAGAAUGGAGUGGUGCUGGAUUAACAGCCUCUUAUUUGGAUUUGAGUAAACUGUUGUUGGGUGUUUGUCAGUGUACUUGUGCAAGUCUGAUUGUCUUGGGUACAUUGAAUAAAGGUCUGAUCUUCCUUGUA